CGCACCUUCAUCCAGAAUUCCUGUCCAGAGGAAGACGCUUCUUUUCUUUCCAGGUUUUUCUUCUUUUGGUUCAGAAGUUUGGUGAUUCAAGGUUAUCGCCACCCUCUACAAGCUGCAGAUCUGUGGACUUUGCGGGACCAGGACACAUCAAUCCGGAUCAUGACUGGCUUGGAGAGGUUCUGGAAGCAGCAGAAAUAUAAACA